rnacentral:rRNA from 1 species
CCCGCUGAACUUAAGCAUAUCAAUAAGCGGAGGAAAAGAAACUAACAAGGAUUCCCCUAGUAACUGCGAGUGAAGAGGGAAAAGCUCAAAUUUAAAAUCUGGCAGUUAUUUGCUGUCCGAGUUGUAAAUUGGAGAAGUGUUAUCCGCGCUGGCCUGUGCAUAAGUCUCUUGGAAAAGAGCAUCAUAGAGGGUGACAAUCCCGUCUUUGGCACAGACUACCAGGGCUUUUGUGAUGCGCUCUCAACGAGUCGAGUUGUUUGGGAAUGCAGCUCCAAAUGGGUGGUAAAUUCCAUCUAAAGCUAAAUAUUGGCGAGAGACCGAUAGCGCACAAGUACCGUGAGGGAAAGAUGAAAAGAACUUUGGAAAGAGAGUUAAACAGUACGUGAAAUUGUUGAAAGGGAAACGCUUGAAGUCAGUCAUGUCUCACUGAAAUCAACCUGGCACUUGUCUGGUGUACUUUCUGUGGGACAGGUCAGCAUCAGUUCUGAUUGCUGGAAAAAGGCCUUGGGAAUGUGACAUCUUUUCGAAGAUGUGUUAUAGCCCUUGGAUCACAUACAGUGGUUGGGACUGAGGAACUCGAUGUGUGGUGUGCUCUGGGGUUUCGGUCCUGGAGUCAUGCAUUCAAGGAUGCUGGCAUAAUGGCUUUAAUCGACCCGUCUUGAAACACGG